UCGACGCGAAUUUCCCUUCGGGGAGAAAGUAGAGUGGCGCACGGGUGAGUAACACGUAGGUAAUCUACCUUUGGAUGGGGAAUAACCCAGAGAAAUCUGGGCUAAUACCGCAUAAUGCAGCGGCACCUAAUGGUGACAGUUGUUAAAGCGGGGGAUCGAAAGACCUCGCGUCUAAAGAGGAGCCUGCGGCGGAUUAGCUAGUUGGUAAGGUAAUGGCUUACCAAGGCUACGAUCCGUAACCGGCCUGAGAGGGCGGUCGGUCACACUGACACUGACAUACGGGUCAGACUCCUACGGGAGGCAGCAGUCGGGAAUUUUGGGCAAUGGGCGAAAGCCUGACCCAGCAACGCCGCGUGAAGGAUGAAAUCCCUCGGGAUGUAAACUUCGCAAGAACGGGAAGAAUAAGUAGGGGACAAUACCCCCUAUGAUGACGGUACCGUUUGUAAGCUCCGGCUAACUCCGUGCCAGCAGCCGCGGUAAUACGGGGGGAGCAAGCGUUGUUCGGAUUUACUGGGCGUAAAGGGCGCGUAGGCGGCCAGCGCAAGUCAGUUGUGAAAUCUCCGAGCUUAACUCGGAAAGGUCAACUGAUACUGCGCGGCUAGAGUGCAGAAGGGGCAACUGGAAUUCUCGGUGUAGCGGUGAAAUGCGUAGAUAUCGAGAGGAACACCUGCGGCGAAGGCGGGUUGCUGGGCUGACACUGACGCUGAGGCGCGAAAGCUAGGGGAGCGAACGGGAUUAGAUACCCCGGUAGUCCUAGCCUUAAACGAUGAAUGCUU
rnacentral:rRNA from 1 species